rnacentral:other from 1 species
AUUUCUCUGAGGUGUGCGUGAGCGGGGAAGUCCCCUGAGCCGAUAUUUCAUACCUUAUAGAAUGUAGUGCUCUGUUUCUUGUGAGCAUGCUUGGCCAGACCAAGAAGCCUAAUAGAAACGACUCUACGUUCACCUUGAACCAAGGGUUCAAGGGUUACCACCUGCAACGGCAUCUUGGAGAACCC